rnacentral:rRNA from 1 species
UACGUAGGUGUCAAGCGUUGUCCGGAUUUAUUGGGCGUAAAGCGCCCGCAGGCGGCUUGCCAAGUUCGAUGUGAAAUCUCCCGGCUCAACUGGGAGGGUGCAUCGAAAACUGGCAGGCUUGAGGCAGGGAGAGGGAUGUGGAAUUCCAGGUGUAGUGGUGAAAUGCGUAGAUACCUGGAGGAACACCAGUGGCGAAGGCGGCAUCCUGGCCCUGUCCUGACGCUCAGGGGCGAAAGCGUGGGGAGCAAACCGG